ACGUUUCGAACGCCACUCCAUUAACGUUGGUUUAACGGCCACGCGCUGCGGGAAGGCGCCUUAACGCAGCCCUGUUGUGCUGCAAUUGCUGGCUCCCAGCCAAAUAAGUUAACGGGACUACUGUACUGAAAAGCGUUGGGCUAGGCGGGGGCGGACAACGGAAAAGUAACGGCUCCUUCCCCGUUCGACAGCGUAGCGUAGCCAGCAAAGGUGGUGUAUGGCUCAAACUAUUUAAGAUGUAUUUAUUUUAUAGCGACCUUCCAGAUUCCCCCCCCCAAAAAAACCCCUCUCAUCCGUCUUAACCAUUGGUUUGGUGGGAGUUGGAUGUCCAAAAGAAGCUGGAGGGUCUCAAGCUGAGAGAAUACUUCAGGCAUUGCAGAAACUUCCAGCUCCAGGCAAUGGGUUCAUAGGCAACUUCUUCAGUGAAACUUGCUUGUAAAAGCUGACCAGGCUUCUGUGGCACCGAGUUCAUGUGUUUAAACCAUUCAUUGAAGGCUUCAUGGGCUUCCUAAAUUGGAUUGGAAAUGUUUAGUCAUUUUCAUGUAGUUAUUCUAAUGACACUGCAGUUACAAAGACCAUCCAUAAGCUAUUUGUACGAACAAUGGUCAUCCUUGUGAAGGUGUGCUAAAAAUAGCCAAAAUAUUUCCGCCAACGGUUUGCUGUUUGUGUUUCCAUUUUAAGAAAUGAAAACUGCUCUAGUAAUUUUAGAGCUUAUUGUAGAUGAUAUAUUGCAUCUAAAGACUUACCUGAAUGUAAGUUUUCAAAACGUCCACCGAUACUUCCUCCUUAAUGGAAAAAGUUACUAGGUUUAAUAACAUUACUUAAGAAUGUCAAUUAAAAUUCCAAGUCACUGUUACCUUUCUAUACUAUCUGAAAAUCGCUAGUUACAUCCAGUUCUCUUUAAGGCACGUGACUGAGUCUAGAUGGCAAACAAACGAGUUACAGUUGAGCAUUGACAGAUAUCAAGCAUUCCAUAACAGGUGACACUAUUCUUAUCAUGUGAUAUUUGAUUCAGUCAUUCCAUAUUAAUACCUCUGGGAAGUAGAAUAGCUUUGCAGCAUCAGCAAAAACUGGAAAUUUGUUACAUUACAACUGGAGUUUUGUUAUAUUAACUUUGCACGUUUCAGGGAUAGACAGAGAAUGAAGACUAUGAGGAUAUUGAAGUUAACUCACAGACAAGAAAGGCUUUAGUUCUUUUAUGGUAUUUACUUGUACAACAGAACCCGAUUUUCCCUUAAUCAGCAGGUUACUCCUGCUGUAGAGGUACAGAUAUUGUUUGCUUACAUAGAAAUACAUCUCUUUUUUACCAUUCCGUCAUUCUAUAUAUACGCAAAAUGUUAUGGGUUUCUUGCUUAGCCCAAACUUUGCUUGAAAGGAAACCAUUUAACUAGACAAAAACAACUGACAAAUUAUAUUAUGGUGGAAAAAUACAUAUUGCAAAUUAUUCUUUAUAGCCUGCAUGGGGAAUCUCCUGCCCAAGGACCAACUUGGCCCGUGAGGUCAUCCCUGUCUUUGUUUUGACAUAUCAUCAGAUGUAGAGCAGGGGAAGCCAUUGCUACAAAGGAACAAUGUGGAGUGCACUCCUGAUUGUUCCUCUGCAAGUGGGGACUUGCAUUUGGUGUCAAAAGCAAGCCCCCCUGGGAUAACUCCCCUAAGUGGAGCUGAUCCCUGCUGCAAGUGGGGGUUUGCAUCCAGGACUUUAAAUCCAGAGCCAAAUGCUAGCCUGUGGGAUUGCGAGUUCCUGAUCAGAGCUGGCCCAUGCAAAGGAACAAAGAAUUUUUGCAAAGGGUAAUGUUUCACCUAAUGUCAGAUGAGUGACAGAUGGGCAACCUCAUUCACCUGUCUAGGUAGCCUGCCAACUCAAUACGGUUCUCCCUAAGUGCUUUAUAGUCAAAUAUCGAUUGUGAUGUAUAGGUGCUUUCUGUUGAAACAGUUCUCAGACUACAUAUUUUUAAUUAAACUAGCAUUACAUUCAGAAUAUGGCAUGCUUCUUUUUACUACUAGCAAAAUGGGGAUGGGAAGAAGCCACUAAAGAAACACUAGCAAAAGGUUUUCUCUUUGUUGUGAUGCUCUGGUCUGUUUCCCUUCCCAUCUAGCUCUUAAACCCAGCUUGGUAGCUGGAGAAAAAGAAUGAUUAGGUUGCACAAGUGAAAGGAGAGGAACCACCAGUUCUUUCCUAUAUUCUAUAUUUCCUAUAUCCUAUAUUUUCUAUAUUCCUAUAUUCUAGGCAUCAUAACAAGAACUUACUUUAGU